CCCUCCCAGCCAUCCAGCCUUUGAGGGAGCUUCUAGGAUCUGACCUGUUGGGAUGGAUCACUCGCUGGACCUCCAUGUAUCCUGUAAGGUCCCUUCAGCCCCUUUCCUCCAGGCAGUACUUUUGGACCCAGAGCACCCAGCUGCUCAAGGAUCUUCCAAAUGCAAGGUGAGAAAAACUGAUGUCCAAAUUUUUAAAAAAUCAAUCAAAUUGACUCAGACUUAGUCUUUCUUGUGGAAUGAGCUUUUGGACAGCCAUCUUGACCAACUGAAGCAAUAUGGUUUCCAUUCGCCCUUGCUUCCCAGCAGCAUCCUGAAUGGUUGGUGUUGCCAAGUGACCUGAUAAGGAGGCAAGUGUACUUAUAGUUUUAUCUUGGCAAAAAGAAAAAAAUGUUAUAGAGGGAGAAAAAACUAUUAUGUUAAUAUAUUUGACUGUAGGAUUUUUAAUAUGCUUCUUGAAACCAUUGAUCAGUUACUGACUUAGUAAUAACCAGCUCAGCUACUCUGUUAAUGCUAUUCCUUCAAUGAAGGACAAGGAUUUUGAAAGAAGCCAGUAAAUGAUAAAGGGGACUGGGUCCUUAAAAUUGGUGAGAGUGGAGUUGAAAUGGAGCUGUGUGUAUCUAGGGAUGGGGUGAGGUAGAUGUGGGUAUGGUGGUUUUGUGUUGGUUAUGGUUGUACUUCUGGUGUGGCCUUGAGAUAUCAAAUUACUCUAUUAGCCCAGCACAGCUUUCUGUCUAACUGGGAUUAAUCAGGGCUACACAACUAUUGUAUUCAAAUCAAGGCUAGGAAACUGCCAGAAAUGAGGCAUUCCCUUUUUAUUUUAUACAUGGUUUGAUAUAGUUUCACAGUGAGCAUGUGGCCUUUAUAAUUUUUUUUUUUCAAGUUACAAAACAAACAAACCUGGAAAGCCUCCUUAGUUGGGAAAAACAUUCAGCUUUUGGAGGGAGGGAGCUAAACUUUUCUUCAAAUAGUGCCAUCUAGUGGUCAAUGUAAGUUAUUGCUCUGAGGUUGGACACAGCAAGUGCAGGGAAGAUACUGGGGAGGUCCAGUAGGGAUUUACCCCUGUGAAAAUACUUAGAGAAGGACAUACCAUUGUCAUUUGCCAAAAGUUGUACAGAGUUUAUACCUAAUGAAAUAUUAAUGUAUCAACAAACUCAAUUUUAGAACUUGGUGAUGUGAAACGCACCAACAUCAAACGCUAGCCAGUGGAGGAGAUUCUAAUUUUUAUUCUUGUGGAGUUUUAAACUUUCUCAAAACAUUUUCUAUGAUUGUAUUUGUUUCUCACAAUAAUAUGCAACAUAAGCACAUCAAAUGGUUUUAUUCCUUUUUGCAGAUGAUGAAAUUGAGGCUAGAGGUAUGUUGUGAGGGGCCCAAGGUCAGCAGAUGUCUAUUUUCAGGGUCAGACUGGAACCCUGGACUCUAGGUUACUAGACUGGCAUUCUUUUCCAGGGGUUUCUGCUGCAGCUGGGGGUAGAAAUAAAUAGGCUUGAUUUUACA
rnacentral:lncRNA from 1 species